rnacentral:rRNA from 1 species
UACGUAGGCAGCAAGCGUUGUUCGGAAUUACUGGGCGUAAAGAGUGUGUAGGCGGUGCUCUAAGUUCGGUGUGAAAUCUCCCGGCUCAACUGGGAGGGUGCGCUGAAAACUGGGGGUGCUCGAGGGUGGGAGAGGUAAGCGGAAUUCCUGGUGUAGCGGUGAAAUGCGUAGAUAUCAGGAGGGAACACCCGAUGGCGAAGGGCAGGUCUCUGGGCC